UCCAGACUCCUACGGGAGGCAGCAGUGGGGGAUAUUGCACAAUGGGGGAAACCCUGAUGCAGCGACGCCGCGUGUGGGAAGACGGUCCUCUGGAUUGUAAAUCACUGUCCCCAGGGACGAAGAUGACAGUACCUGACCAAGGAGCCCCGGCUAACUACGUGCCAGCAGCCGCGGUAAUACGUAGGGGGCAAGCGUUAUCCGGAUUUACUGGGUGUAAAGGGAGCGUAGACGGUUAUGUAAGUCUGGAGUGAAAGCCCGGGGCCCAACCCCGGGACUGCUUUGGAAACUGUGUAACUGGAGUACAGGAGGGGCAGGCGGAAUUCCUGGUGUAGCGGUGAAAUGCGUAGAUAUCAGGAGGAACACCGGCGGCGAAGGCGGCCUGCUGGACUGAAACUGACGUUGAGGCUCGAAAGCGUGGGGAGCAAACAGGAUUAGAUACCCCAGUA
rnacentral:rRNA from 1 species